rnacentral:rRNA from 1 species
GACGAACGCUGGCGGCGUGCUUAACACAUGCAAGUCGAACGGAAAGGCCCUGCUUUUGUGGGGUGCUCGAGUUGCGAACGGGUGAGUAACACGUGAGUAACCUGCCCUUGACUUUGGGAUAACUUCAGGAAACUGGGGCUAAUACCGGAUAGGAGCUCCUGCUGCAUGGUGGGGGUGGGAAAGUUUCGGCGGUUGGGGAUGGACUCGCGGCUUAUCAGCUUGUUGGUGGGGUAGUGGCUUACCAAGGCUUUGACGGGUAGCCGGCCUGAGAGGGUGACCGGCCACACUGGGACUGAGAUGCGGCCCAGCCUCCUACGGGAGGCAGCAGUGGGGAAUAUUGCACAAUGGGAGGAAGCCUGAUGUAGCAACGCAGCGUGCGGGGUGAGGGCCUUCGGGUUGUAAAGCGCUUUCGCCUGUGACGAAACGUGAGUGACGGUAAUGGGUAAAGAAGCACCGGCUAACUACGUG